GCGCAGCAGGCGCGAAACCUCCGCAAUGCACGCAAGUGCGACGGGGGAACCCCAAGUGCCACUCUUAACGGGGUGGCUUUUCAGAAGUGUAAAAAGCUUCUGGAAUAAGGGCUGGGCAAGACCGGUGCCAGCCGCCGCGGUAACACCGGCAGCUCAAGUGGUAGCCGCUUUUAUUGGGCCUAAAGCGUCCGUAGCCGGUCUGAUAAGUCUCUGGUGAAAUCCCGCAGCUUAACUGUGGGAAUUGCUGGAGAUACUAUCAUGACUCGAGGUCGGGAGAGGCUGGAGGUACUCCCAGGGUAGGGGUGAAAUCCUGUAAUCCUGGGAGGACCACCUGUGGCGAAGGCGUCCAGCUGGAACGAACCUGACGGUGAGGGACGAAAGCCAGGGGCGCGAACCGGAUUAGAUACCCGGGUAGUCCUGGCCGUAAACGAUGUGGACUUGGUGUUGGGAUGGCUUCGAGCUGCCCCAGUGCCGAAGGGAAGCUGUUAAGUCCACCGCCUGGGAAGUNCGGCCGCAAGGCUGAAACUUAAAGGAAUUGGCGGGGGA
rnacentral:rRNA from 1 species